rnacentral:rRNA from 1 species
CCUACGGGAGGCAGCAGUGAGGAAUAUUGGUCAAUGGACGAGAGUCUGAACCAGCCAAGUAGCGUGAAGGAUGACUGCCCUAUGGGUUGUAAACUUCUUUUAUAUGGGGAUAAAACGUUCCACGUGUGGGAUUUUGUAUGUACCAUAUGAAUAAGGAUCGGCUAACUCCGUGCCAGCAGCCGCGGUAAUACGGAGGAUCCGAGCGUUAUCCGGAUUGAUUGGGUUUAAAGGGAGCGUAGGGGGGUUGUUAAGUCAGUUGUGAAAGUUUGCGGCUCAACCGUAAAAUUGCAGUGGAAACUGGCAGUCUUGAGUACAGUAGAGGUGGGCGGAAUGCGUGGUGUAGCGGUGAAAUGCUUAGAUAUCACGAAGAACUCCGAUUGCGAAGGCAGUUCACUGGACUGCAACUGACACUGAGGCUCGAAAGUGUGGGUAUCAAACAGGAUUAGAUACCCGGGUAGUC